UUAAUUGAAGUUGAUGGAGCAUGGAUUUUCUUACUUAUAAAACAAUCCAAAAAUUGGCUUUAUUGCAUUCAAAGAAAGAUAAAUAUGACUCAAUUUCUCUUCUUUAUCUUUGUUUUGAUGAUCUUUCUUUCUCCAUUUCUUGUUGAAAUGGAAAAGACUCAUGUUCGUUGCAUUACUGCCGAUGAUUGUCCAAAGGUGGAAAGACCUCUCAAAAUGAAGUGUAUUGGAAAUUAUUGUCACUACUUUUUAAACAACUUUUAGACAACUUUAUCUCUCAUACUCACAUGGUUUUUAGAGUAAUGAUUAAUAUAGAGAAGAAAUACAUCACGAAUUUAUCACGACACCGCACACUCACGUAUUACCACUAGUUUUUAUUUUAUUUUUUAAAGAACCACUAGUUUUAUUGUUCACUCUCAUAUAUUCCCCUCAUUCAAUAUUCAUUUUGUUAUCACUUAUCUAUGGUCUUUUGUCUUC